CAGAGACACUGCCUCAUGCAUACACACACACACACUGUCUAAUACGUGUACACACACAGCCUAAUACAUACAUACACAGACACUGCCUAGUACAUACUGCUAUACCUGGAAUGUACUGCAUACUCUCUCACUUACCUCUCACUUUAACUAGUGGCUCUGCCCCUGUGAUGACAGUCAGAGUGUGCAGCAGUGAUGUUUAAGAUGUUUACUCAUGUAUUCCU